CCUACGGGUGGCAGCAGUGGGGAAUAUUGGACAAUGGGGGGAACCCUGAUCCAGCCAUGCCGCGUGUGUGAAGAAGGCCCUCGGGUUGUAAAGCACUUUCAGUGAGGAAGAACGCCUGGUGGUUAAUACCCAUCAGGAAAGACAUCACUCACAGAAGAAGCACCGGCUAACUCCGUGCCAGCAGCUGCGGUAAUACGGAGGGUGCGAGCGUUAAUCGGAAUUACUGGGCGUAAAGCGCGCGUAGGUGGCUUGAUAAGCCGGUUGUGAAAGCCCCGGGCUCAACCUGGGAACGGCAUCCGGAACUGUCAAGCUAGAGUGCAGGAGAGGAAGGUAGAAUUCCCGGUGUAGCGGUGAAAUGCGUAGAGAUCGGGAGGAAUACCAGUGGCGAAGGCGGCCUUCUGGACUGACACUGACACUGAGGUGCGAAAGCGUGGGUAGCAAACAGGAUUAGAUACCCUGGUAGUC
rnacentral:rRNA from 1 species